AUGGAAUUUCUACUUUUUUGUGUUCAGUCAUUAUGGGUACGGCCCAGAGGUAUGUGUUCAGUUAUUAUGGGUACGGCCCAGAGGUAUGUGUUCAGUCAUCAUGGGUACGGCCCAGAGGUAUGUGUUCAGUCAUCAUGGGUACGGCCCAGAGGUAUGUGUUCAGUCAUCAUGGGUACGGCCCAGAGGUAUGUUUUCAGUUAUUAUGGGUACGGCCCAGAGGUAUGUGUUCAGUCAUCAUGGGUACGGCCCAGAGUUAUGUGUUCAGUUAUUAUGGGUACGGCCCAGAGUUAUGUGUUCAGUUAUUAUGGGUACGGCCCAGAGGUAUGUGUUCAGUUAUUAUGGGUACGGCCCAGAGGUAUGUGUUCAGUCAUCAUGGGUACGGCCCAGAGGUAUGUGGUCAGUUAUUAUGGGUACGGCCCAGAGGUAUGUGUUCAGUCAUCAUGGGUACGGCCCAGAGGUAUGUGGUCAGUUAUUAUGGGUACAGCCCAGAGGUAUGUGUUCAGUCAUCAUGGGUACGGCCCAGAGUUAUGUGUUCAGUCAUCAUGGGUACGGCCCAGAGUUAUGUGUUCAGUUAUUAUGGGUACGGCCCAGAGUUAUGUGUUCAGUUAUUAUGGGUACGGCCCAGAGUUAUGUGUUCAGUUAUUAUGGGUACGGCCCAGAGGUAUGUGUUCAGUUAUUAUGGGUACGGCCCAGAGGUAUGUGUUCAGUUAUUAUGGGUACGGCCCAGAGGUAUGUGUUCAGUUAUUAUGGGUACGGCCCAGAGGUAUGUGUUCAGUUAUUAUGGGUACGGCCCAGAGGUAUGUGUUCAGUUAUUAUGGGUACGGCCCAGAGGUAUGUGUUCAGUCAUCAUGGGUACGGCCCAGAGGUAUGUGUUCAGUCAUCAUGGGUAAAGGCCCAGAGGUAUGUGUUCAGUUNNNNNNNNNNNNNNNNNNNNCUCUCUCUCUCUCUCUCUCUCUCUCUCUCUCUCUCUCUCUCUCUCUCUCUCUCUCUCUCUCUCUCUCUCUCUCUCUCUCCGCUAUGAGCAACACAGAGGCCAAGUCGAGGGUGGAUCAUUCCUAUUACAGUAACAUUCUCUGUCUCUGUAGACACUGGUCCAUUACAUGA
rnacentral:lncRNA from 8 species